AGUGAACGCUGGCGGCAGGCCUAGCACAUGCAAGUCGAACGGCAGCACAGAGGAGCUUGCUCCUUGGGUGGCGAGUGGCGGACGGGUGAGGAAUGCAUCGGAAUCUGCCUAUUUGUGGGGGAUAACGUAGGGAAACUUACGCUAAUACCGCAUACGUCCUACGGGAGAAAGUGGGGGACCUUCGGGCCUCACGCAGAUAGAUGAGCCGAUGCCGGAUUAGCUAGUUGGCGGGGUAAAGGCCCACCAAGGCGACGAUCCGUAGCUGGUCUGAGAGGAUGAUCAGCCACACUGGAACUGAGACACGGUCCAGACUCCUACGGGAGGCAGCAGUGGGGAACAUUGGACAAUGGGCGCAAGCCUGAUCCAGCCAUGCCGCGUGUGUGAAGAAGGCCUUCGGGUUGUAAAGCACUUUUGUCCGGAAAGAAAAGCGCUCGAUUAAUACUCGGGUGUUAUGACGGUACCGGAAGAAUAAGCACCGGCUAACUUCGUGCCAGCCGCCGCCGUAAUAC
rnacentral:rRNA from 1 species